UGGGGAAUAUUGGACAAUGGGCGCAAGCCUGAUCCAGCAAUGCCGCGUGAGUGAAGAAGGUCUUCGGAUUGUAAAGCUCUUUUGGCGGGGACGAUGAUGACGGUACCCGCAGAAUAAGCCCCGGCUAACUUCGUGCCAGCAGCCGCGGUAAUACGAAGGGGGCUAGCGUUGCUCGGAAUGACUGGGCGUAAAGGGCGCGUAGGCGGAUUGUACAGUCAGACGUGAAAUUCCUGGGCUCAACCUGGGGGCUGCGUUUGAUACGUAUAGUCUUGAGUGAGGAAGAGGGUCGUGGAAUUCCCAGUGUAGAGGUGAAAUUCGUAGAUAUUGGGAAGAACACCGGUGGCGAAGGCGGCGACCUGGUCCUUUACUGACGCUGAGGCGCGAAAGCGUGGGGAGCAAACAGG
rnacentral:rRNA from 1 species